rnacentral:rRNA from 1 species
AGUGAACGCUGGCGGUAGGCCUAACACAUGCAAGUCGAACGGCAGCACAGUAAGAGCUUGCUCUUACGGUUGGCGAGUGGCGGACGGGUGAGGAAUACAUCGGAAUCUACUUUUUCGUGGGGGAUAACGUAGGGAAACUUACGCUAAUACCUCAUACGACCUACGGGUGAAAGCAGGGGAUCUUCGGACCUUUCGCGAUUGAAUGAGCCGAUGUCGGAUUAGCUAGUUGGCUGGGUAAAGGCCCACCAAGGCGACGAUCCGUAGCUGGUCUGAGAGGAUGAUCAGCCACACUGGAACUGAGACACGGUCCAGACUCCUACGGGAGGCAGCAGUGGGGAAUAUUGGACAAUGGGCGAAAGCCUGAUCCAGCCAUACCGCGUGGGUGAAGAAGGCCUUCGGGUUGUAAAGCCCUUUUGUUGGGAAAGAAAAGCAGCAGGUUAAUCCCCCGCUGUUCUGACGGUACCCAAAGAAUAAGCAACGGCUAACUUCGUG